UAAGUUGUUGUCACUCUUGCAACUUGUGCUCUGUCUCAAGUUAUUUUUGCUGCAUCACAUGGGUCCUGCUGGUUCAGGUCCCCACAAGUGGUGCCCUGUGUGAGGAACCACUGAGUCUCUUCCCAUUCAUCAGCGAGGCAAACUGCACCCUGCUCGUUCAUCAGGUGUCGCUGCCAGCUCGUCCAGUGGAAGUGAUAUUCAUCUAGACUCAUAAUCAUCCCAAGCUGCGGGACUCCCCUGGAUGCCUCAGCUCUAUGCCUAGCCUCUGCCCAGGAAUUUUUCCUGGAUGACGGGGGCUGGAGGAUCCAGGUGAAGGCACCUGCCGUGGAUGAACAUCGGGCGCAUCUAGGUAAAGGUGACUUUGAAAUAGAGACUUUCCCUGUGCUGGGUCUGCGGUGGUUUCCUGCAUGGCAUGUCAAACCAUACCAUGAACCCAGAAAAUCAGCUUCCACACCCAAUUCCAUAGAUGGAGAAGAUGAGCCUGGCUAACAACAGAAAUCAUCACACACAGCCGCUCGUCUCUACAGUGCAUGUACAGGGAGUAACCUGGGGUGGCCUCAAACAAUUAGAUCAAAAGGCCACCCAAAUGUUGUGUAGCACCAGCACUCCCACUACUCCUGAAAAUAGAUCUCUUGCUUAUCUCACAAUUGUGUCCCAUAAUUCCUCUGAACCCUUUCCUGUUGAUCAUUGCCAUAUUAACUCUAAGUGGUAUCCUUAUUCAGUCAAUGUAGUUUGAAACCCAUGUAGAGCCUCAGUUCCUCGAGAAACUACUUUAUUAUAUAAUUAUACUCUUUUUGGCUGGGGGCCUCAGAGCAAUCUUGCCAGUCAUGGUGAAUAUAUUAACUUCUCCCAGUCCAUCAAUAGUAGCAUUGCUUGGACUAAUGGGAGACAUUCAGGACCUAUUCUCCAUGUGCAAGCCUCAUCAGUUAAUGUUUCCAGCCCCUGGCAUUAUUGCCUUUGGAGGCUUGGUCUCCCUUUCUUCCCUCAAAAUGUGUCUCAUGGUAAUUAUACAAAAAUGAAUAACAGCUUUAGUAUAUCAUUAUCUACAAAUAAUACUGAUUCAGUUAUGAUACAUACCACACACCCCUUUAUGUUUCUCAUAGCUUCUUCUGCCAAUGUACCUUAUUCUCAUAAUCUAUUUAAUAUUACAGUUCCCAACUCUAUGGCUUCUUUUGCUUCUUGUAUGUCAAAUAGCAAUGUUACCACUUAUAAUUUUGCUCAUAUCUUCGUCCUGCGCAGACAGGCCCAAGUUUGGGUGCUUGUUAAUCUUACCAGCCCCCGGGAAAGCCCAUCUGGUCUUUCUCAACUUAAUCAUGCUCCUGUUCAACUCUGAGUUAAAAGAUCCUCGGAAUGUUAAUAGCUUUUAUUAUUUCAGCUGUUAUCAUUGCCGCUACUGCUGCCAUUGCAGUAGCAGCCCUAGCCGAAUCUGUACAAACUGCUCAUAUAGAUAAUCAAGUCAUGACAAAUUUCACUGAAGAUAUGCUAUCUCAAACGCACAUUGAUAAUAAAAUUCUUACCUGUUUAGAUGCCCUUGAAACUGCUGUCUUAUGGAAUGAAGAACAUCAACAAGCUAUAGCCACUCAGCUUGGCUUACAAUGUGAUUGGAAUUAUACAAAAAUUUGUGUUACUCCUUUAGCAUGGAAUGAAUCCUUAAAUAAUUGGACACAAAUUAAAGCUCAUCUGUUAGGCAAUUCCAUGACUAAUGUGAAUUCAGAAAUCUCUACCCUUCAAUGUAAUCUUAAACAACUCACCCAAAUAUAAUUGCUUACACAACAAAUAUUCAAAAUAUUAAAUGACAAUUUAAAAUGGUUAAAAUUGGUUUCAUGGCCUCAACUUGCAUAUUUCAAUUUUAACCGGUCUAAGUUUAAUCUUCUGUCUUAUUCUUAUUUGCUCUUGCAGACUCACCAUUAAACUCUUCCAAAGAAUGCUUCAUGCAGAAGCCAAGCUCGUUGCCUUCACCACUGCUGCAGCCUUUCCCAACCGCCCUUUGCCCCUCACUUCCAUAAAUAAUAAAAAGAGGGGAAAUAUAGGAGUGCUAUGGAUAAAAGAGCUAUAACAUGUGCAGCUUCUUGUACCUGGUUUCUCCCACAAAUGAGAGAAAUGUCACAUCACCUGAUUCCCAUCACAAAUGAUGGGAACAUCUUGUGUUUGUCCUUGAUUCCUAUUGCAAAUGAUGGGAACAUCUUGCAGUUUGUUCUUGAUUCCUGUCGCAAAUGAUGUGAACAUCCUGCCUUGCUACAAUCCAGCACUCUGCACAUUUCAUUCCCAAGGCCAGGCUUAUCUGUUAUCAGCAUGCCUGCCAAUUUUUGUUUCUUAAAGUUCAGCAAAUCCUGCCUCCCUUCUUGCCUCCCUUCCUGCCUUCCCAAUCGGCCUUGAAUUCCAGCAUGACUCCCUAACCCGGAAAUCUCAAUAAAAGCCAAGAUGAGCAUUGCUCAGGAGGACACUCCUCUUGAGUUGUUUCCUCUUGCAACUUGUGCUCUCUCUCAAGUUAUUUUUGCUGCAUCACUGUGGGUCCUGGCAGUUUGGGUCCCCACAAUUUGUAAUGUUGUCUUCAGAAAUUUAUAAAAUAUAAGUACUGAUUUGAUUGGUCUUUAAAACCUGUAUAAUUGUGAGACUAUUUAACUAAUGUGGAUGUGAUUUGUCACCUAGUAUUAAGUUCUUAGUCUGAUUUUUGUGUUAAAAAAUAGGAAAGAGGGAAACUGCAGUUUUCAUUACGAACUUCUUGAUUGGUAAGCUCUCCAAACGAUGAGUUAUAGUAAACUCUGAUUAUGCCUCUGGAUAGUGGAUUUCAAACAUUUCUCUCAGGCUUUAAUUUGCCAAAGCCAUGCACAUAUGUAAAAAAAAAACUAGAUUAUUUUAGGGAAGUUGUAAGUGUAGAAUGAUUGUUUAUGUCAUUUCAUGAGCAGUUAUGCUUUUAAUGCUUAAAAGAAGGCUAGCAUUGUUUGCACAAAAAAUUGGUGAUUCCCUCCCCAAAAUACUAAUGAAAUUACUUCUGUUGAGUAAACUUUUUAUGUCAUCUUAUAAUAAAAGCUGAAAAAAUC